AUGGGUGCAAAAACUUGUUAUCACUCAUGUAAAAACUUUGUGUUGCAAGGCACCUGCACUAUGCCUUCCUCCCUGUGUGUGUGAAUUAUAUCACAAAUAUAUAUAUAUUUGUGAUUGUUGAAACACGUUAAUCUUAUGUAGAAGGUCAUUUUAGUUGCAAAAGUGCUGAAACAUUUUUUGCUGAUUUAAAGAUCUAAACCCAAUCUGCAUUUUUCUAAGGCAGGAUUUUUACUGACUCUGCAGACAUUAGUGGCAAAAGCAGACAUCAGUGGCAUAAAUUACACAAAUUGUUCUAAACAAAAUUCAGAAUGAUAGACUCACCUUCACCGCCUCCACCUUCCAAUGCCUCUCCUGUGCGUCUCCCGGCCUUCCAAUCAGCAUCCUGUCUGCCUGAUUCACCAUCCAAUCACCUUCCGACGCCUUGCUUUUAAAGAACCUUCAGCGGUGUUCACCCUCGCUUGUCAGCUUAGCUCAUUCCUCCUGCGCCCCACCUCAACCAUCUUCCUUCCCAUCUCCUCCCAGCUUCCUCGCUCCCUGGCUGCCAAUCCACCACCAGAGUUGGAUCGGGGGAAGACAUCCCUAAAUCUAAACUUUACAAAAGUUCAUAUUAACUCAUGUCAUUCUCAGCAUUCAGGUCUUCCUCCCAGGUCCGAAUGCCAAAAAAAUAACCAUGUAAUUUCACAUCAUUAAAACUUUGCCAAAGUCUAAAAUGCAAAGCCAGAUUUUAAAAUAUGAAACAAAGAUGUAAAAAUUUCAUGAAUUUCUUAUAUAAACAUUGACCACGAAUCCAAGUUAGCUUUUCCACUAUGAGGCAUUUGAUAAAAUAUUUCUGACUGUAUUUUUUUAAGAUGAAGAAGGAAAUUCAUCUUCUGUCAUUGUGUUUUAGAAACUACAGCGAGGUUGACUAUGAUUCAACAAAAGUAAGAAGAUGUUUUCUAUGUUCCCCAUAUAAUACCUGAAAUAAUUUAAUAACAGCAUUGAAAAUUCAGGAAUGCUGUUCCCCCAUGCAGGCUGAAAGAACAAAAAUAUUUUAAACAACAAGCAGACAAAGUAUUCAGUGGCUGUUUAACGUUACGCAAAUUGAGUUUUCUGGUUUAAAGACUUGAUCUGUCAGCUGCAGAAGAAGACAUCAUCUGAUUACCGUCAACACCAACAUGUUCACUGUAGCUCUGCUGCUGCUGGCUGAUGGAUCUUAAGACAGAAACAUUUGCCGUAUGAACAUUUUCUUUAUUCAAUAUAUUAUAGCUUAUAGACAAGAACUCUUAACAUUUCUACAGAUUAUUUGGUUAUUGUGAUGUCAUUCUUCUAUUUGUGUGAAGUGGAUGAUAAAAAGGGAAGAAUGUAAAAGAAAGUCUUUCCAUUUUGAGAUCAUAAAUAAAGAAAAUAUAAUCACAAAAAAUAACUGGAUAGUACAAUGCAAUUAUUAUACUUUUUUUAAAAUCUUGUUUAUAUUCAGGCCAAAGAUUUUAUAAUCCAUAACAAAUUGCAGUUACCCUUUUUAUGUGAAACCCAAAUGUAAGAACACAAAAGAACAAGUUAAAAUUAAAGUUUUAAUUAAGGAUACAAUUCUUUGUUAAAUGGAUCAAACUCUCUCUACAUUAAGCCCCUCCCUCAUAUUAAUGCAAAUCUCCGCUGUGUAUUUCAGUCCUGCUGACUGCUUACUAGUUUGUGUCUCCAGCCUCAGGAUGAUGAACAUGCUCACUGAUCUCCUUCUUGUCCUCUGUCUGAACUGUUGGACAAGUCAGAAUAUGGAGUCCAUUCCUUCCAGUUCAGUGGUGAAAAGUCCUGGAGAGACUCUCAGUCUGUCCUGCAGAGUAUCUGCCAUCAUAAUUAGCAGCUAUCAGACAGCCUCCAGGAAAAGGACUGGAAUGGAUAGGAAGAGGGUUGAAUGACUGCAACCGUAACACAUAUGCCAGCAGUGUGGGGGGAAGAAUUGAAGUCAGUCCAACCUGAAACCAGAAGACUCUGCUGUGUAUUACUGUGCCAGGGAAGCGCAAUGUUUUAUGUGAGCACAAAGGCUGUACAAAAACUACAUUAACUAUAUUGUUUGUGAGACCUGAAGAGGGCAGCAAAAAGACUGAUGACACCAACAGACAGAGACAUGCUAUACCUAAGAAGUGUGAACUUUUUUAGUAAUUUAUAGAAAAUAAUUAACAAAAACUUUAUAAGAGCACGUAUAAUAGUACUUUCAAAUAUGUUUGAAUUUCAUAUCAAAUGGUAUUUCCAAACGGUUGCUGUUUGUAAGAAGCCGUCUUCCUCUUUUAUUCUUUUUAUAAUUACGUCUAUGCAAAAUAAAGAUGUUUAGAGUUUAUCAUUAAAA